GCUGCUCCUGCUGCUGCUGCUCCUGCUGCUGCUGCUGCAGCAGCAGCAGCAGCAGAUGGCAGCAGUGGAGGGGGGCUGCGGGGGUUUUGGUUUGAGCUGCUGGGGGUACCUGAGAUGAAGGGCCCCUUCUCCUCAUCCUCCUUCAUA
rnacentral:snoRNA from 1 species